ACUCCUGACCUCAGGUGAUCUGACCAACUCAGCCUCCCAAAGUGCUGGGAUUAUAGGUGUGAGCCACCAUGCCCAGCCAUGGGUUGAAGUUUUUAAAGGUAUGUCUUUUAGUCAGUAGUACAUUGCUUCGUUCUGUCUUACAUUUGCAUUCCAGUUCUCUUCAUCAUGUUCAUAGACAUGUUAAUGUUUAGUAUAUGAGUUUUAUGUAAUAAAGGAAGGUAUAUUUUCAUGGGAUUUUUGUAGUGGGAGAAUGACAUCUGGGCCUGAAAUAGGAUAUUUGUGUUGCAACUUUUUCAGUGUCAUGUGAUACCAUACUUUGACCACUUAGUUGAUGCCUCUGAAAGGAAGAGAAUCUGAUGGCUAAACUUUGACGUGUCGUCAGUGUGGAUCCUACUCAGUAGUGUCACAACGAGGCUGAAAAUCGUAUUAAGUGCUUUUAGGACAGAAACAUAAACUGCUCAGGUAAAAUAACAUUGUAAAGAAAAAUAAGAGUAUAUUGCAGAGGCCUUGGCUAGAUUCAUGAUGAUACAGGACCUUGUCUGAACAUAAUGAUUUCAAAACUUGAGCUUAAAAAUGACACUCUGAAAUCUAGUCAGUGUGCCUCACUAGACUUUGUGAUUUCAAGAUUUUCUGCAGAAAAUGUUGUGAAAACUUUGAAUACAUAAAAAUGGCAGGUGUAGUAUUGCACUUUGCUAGUUCCUCAGAUACCCUUUUUUGUUUGUGUAGAUACUAUGAGUUACUUUUUUUUUCUACAUGUUGUACGUUGUUGAAAGCUAAAAAGAAGCUUGCCCUGGAUCGCAGAAGGCACAGGCACUUGGUCAGAUGGAAACAAGGAUGUGUAAAAAUGAGACUACCACCUCUCGGAUAAAAAAAAUAAAAGUGCCAGAGUUCUAGGGUUCUAAGCGUUGUCCAGGAAGGAGGAGGAAUAAUAUUUAUGGAGCAUAUAUUAUGGAACACAGACAUGACAGAGUUUUAACAGUCCUCUGUGGAGAAGGGAGAAUAGAAGGACGACUUCAACUUUUUGUACCUGAAAUUUUCAAAAGAUAUUUCAAAAUGGACAUUUAAACAACAGUAAAUUUUAAAGAGACAACCAGUUUGUGCCUGUCUGUAUCCUUGACAUUCAACAUCCUAGGAACAGUGGGCUGUAGUAUUCAACUUCUUAUUCCCAACAGCCGUUAUGAACAGUUUUUGAUUGAUCUCACAAAGAGCAUGUGAUUUAGAUAGUAAUGCAGCUACUACCAUGAAACAGUAUUGGAUUACCAAAGGAAAGAAGCAGAAGAUGGAAUUUGAGGUAAUCAGGAUGAAUGAAAGACUUAUUUGCAGCUAACCUGCGAGUAUUCAGGAACAUCCAUUUCUCAUGGAGUCCCUUAAUUUACAAGUUAACUGAAAACAUAGGAGAUGGUAGUUUCAAGAAGGAAUAUUUUAUCAUCUUUGUUUUUAAUCUCAAGAAUGAUACCUACCAUCAGUGAAUGACCUGUUGCAGUGCUUUCAUUGAAGCAUUCUUCAUUCCUUCAGCAAUAUGAUUGUGAUGACUGAAAAAGGGGAGCUGUUCCACUAUUUGUACCAUCAUCUUCACCAAAAUAAAAAUUUCUUUUUAUGAUGUUUGGAGACACUCUUCAUGAUUGUUUCAGUGGACACUCCUUUGCAGAUCUAAAAAAUUGAGAAAACUCAUUUUUGGAAAGUGUCCGAUAGAGUUAUCAUUGAAGUGAAUUUUAAGUAGGCACGAUGAUUAUGUUCAUGGUUGCUGUUGGACCGUAUCUCAGGAGCUGGAAUGACAGACAUUAUUGAACAAAGAAAGCAGCAUAGUGGAAUUAAAAAGGCUGAACUCAGUGCUUUCAUAAAUAUGAAGUGCGUAAUUUUCACUAAUCACAGGGUAAAUAUAAAACUGAUUUAUUAAAUUCACAGGACAUAGUAAUUGUGUGAAAUACAGUAUUUUUACUUAAAUGCUUUUUGUCUGUUUCUACCCCCCAGUCUAUUAUUUUAUAAACUAGUUGAUGCAUAAGCGGUGUUUUGGCGGUGAUAUAUUACAUUUUCGAUGUAGUAAACAUGUAUAUGUAUGUGUGUGGGUGUGCAUUAUCUAACUACUUAGUUGGACUUAUUCGUAUGAUUUGGAAUUUCUGGGGCCAAGUUUAUGCAAAAAUCUAUAUUUUUGAGUAAACUUACCAUGACUAGAGUAAGUUUCCCCAGUAUUUGCAAAUUCUUCAUUUCCUAAAGCUGUACAAACAGCAGAUAAUCAAUAUUUGUAAGGAUCGAUAAUGUAAUUUAUAAUGAUAUUAUUUUCUCAGCUGUUAUGUUAACUGUAUCAUCAUAGCUUUUAACUCAUUUGUGCUAUUCCAUUUUCCUCUGUUACUUUUAUUUUCACUUCUCUUGUAAUGUUAGUCUAGUCUCUUUGUACUGAUAUCUAAAGAGUUCAUUUAUGAUUAACGAUGUUAAUUUUUUGUCUAGAAUUGCAAGUAUGUUUUUCUCAUUCAUUUUACUGUGGUGGUUUAUUUUUUGGUUACACAGAAGUCGUAUAUUGAAAUAUGAAAUAUAAUCUUGUUUUAUGGCUUUGGAGUUUUGUGGGUUUUUUUUUAACAUGUUUAAGUUAGUAUCAUUUAUUUGUAUUGCUUUCUGUUUCAUCAGUUAUUUUGUCAUUUCUUUCUCCAUUAGUCAUCGUUCUGGUGUUAAUGAGUGCAUUAAAUACUCACUUUGACUGGUGUAGUUGUCUCUGAAGCUCUACCAUAAUCAUGAAGAAAAUUUCCACGUAACGAUUGGCUACAUUUCUGUUAACUUGCCUUACUUACCAUCUUAUUGACACUUUAAUAAUUGCUUAUGAUUUAUACUGUCUCAUCUAUUCCAUUGAGCUUUCAUUUCUCUUCUUUUCCAGAAUAUUCUCUGUCUAUACUUGCAUUUUUUUCUGUCCUUUGAUGCUUACAAUUAUUUUUGCAAGUUGGAAAAAAAUGCAGUAUUUCAUUUGCAGCAAAUUUAAUAGAUUAAUUAGGAAAGAAUAGAUGCCUUUAAAAUUGAGUCUUCUAUCCAACUGCAAGGUAGGUCUUUCUAUUUUUAAUGGAAUAAUAAUUUGGGGAUAUAACUAGUGCAGUUUUUUUUUAAGUAUUUUUUAAAUACUAGACAUUUUUUAGGUAUUUGUUAAUUGAGUGAUUUGGAUCACUUAUUCAGCUUACCUAAUUGAUAAGUGAAAACGUUUUUUGUAUGUCUUUUCUAGUAGUCUUUCACUGAAUUUCUAAAAUUAGGACUUUGUUUAGCAAUUUGUCUUUUUAAUUAUCUUGAUAAAGUACAUUAGUAAGUACUUCUAGGAUAUAUGAAAGUAGAAAGUACACUUGGCAAUUGAACUGUUAAUUGCAGUUCCCUUAGAUCAUGGUUGUUGAAUCUCUUAUUUCAUAGGGGGCUUAAAAAGCCGUAAAGAAAGAUAUAUAGACUGAAUGUACAGCUAAAGCAUUAAAUUUUAAAAAUCAAUUAAAAUCAGUUGUUAAUUACAAAUAUUUAAAAAGAUAAUGAGGUGGUACAUGUCAAAGGAAUUCAGCCUUAAAAAUGCCAAAAAUAACACUUCAUGAAAAUUGGAAAAUUUAAAAAUAAUUACAGCCAUUUUUAAGUUAAAAUGUAAAACAUCACCAUGUUAUCUUUAAUUAUGUAUCUUACACAUACCAAAGAUUUCAGUCGUCUUUUGUGAUGUCACAACUUUUUCAUAUUUGUCAUUUUAUUUUUACUGCACUUAAUGUUACAUUAAUAAAACUCAUAGGGGGCUUAAAAAGCCAUAAAAAAAGGUAUAUAAACUAAAUAUACAGCUAAGGCAUUAAGUUUAAAAAUUCAAAUAAUAUUGACUGUUACGUUAAUUACAAAUAUUUAAAAAGAUAAUGAGACGGUACAUGUCGAAGGAAUGCAGCCUUCAAAUAAAAAUGCCAAAAAUAACACAUUCAUGAAAAUUGGAAAAUUUAAAAAUAUUUACAACCAUUUUUGAAGCGAAAACAUAAAAAAUCACCAAGUUAUCUAUAAUUAUAUAUCUUACACAUACCAAGUAUAUACCAAAAUACAUAAAGUACUUAGCCAUGUAAAAGGGUUCUUAGAUUUGCUGAUAAGAAUAAUGACAAUUGAAAAUACAACUAAGAUAUAAUUAAUUUCUGUACUAAGAUAUAAUUAAUUUCUCUACAUGACCAACAUGGAGAAACCGCGUCUCUACUAAAAAUACUUUGCAAUAACUGGUUGCUUGGAACUAAAACUAUUUUAGUUUUAACUAAAAAUUGUUAAGUGUUUUCCUUUCAUCUUUUACCCAUCUCCACUGUGUGUGUGUGUGUGUGUGUGUAAAGGGUAAAGAUUCUGAGCUGGAACUGUGUAUCACUCCUCAGUUUUCAUGAGGUAGUGACGAUAUAACAUGCACGAACAGUGAGCAACUAAGAAAUCUGCAAGCAUGUUCGUAGUAGUAUUCAUUGAUAAUCAUUUUUGAGGUGAGUAAUAACAAUGCCAUUUCUAUGUUUUUUUCUCCUCUACGUGCCAUGUCUGUUGUUUAUUUGUCUGGUAAUCUUUAAAGCCACACUUUCACUUUAACAUGAGAGAUUGAAGUAUUAUUGAAGAAGCUGAUGAUAGCCCAGGGCCUUAAAUAAAUGUCUUGUUUUUUGUGUUCAAUAUACUUAUUUGUGGGAGUGUAUACAUAUUCCGGGGUGUUCUAGUUCCACAGCGACAACCUAGAUGGUACAGAAAUAUUUUGUUCAUUCUAUAUUAUGAGUCAAUUUAUAAUUUGAUCUACAGCUAGACAUUUUGAUUGUCACUUGUGAGCAAAAAAUAGGAAGACUUUGUAAAGAUUGGGAAUUGAGAAGGUGACUUGAUUAGGUAUCACAGACUUCUAAUGUUCUGGAACAGAAGACCUGUAAGUUGAUCCAAUUACGUGAGAAAUAGAAAGUGUAAUAAAGUUAUCUGCGAUCAUGGGGGAAAUUGUUACCCAAAUGGAUAAGGAACUAUAUUCAUCUCUCAUGGUCUGUAACAGCAUGAAGAAUUUAAAAUUAAUUACUACAGACAUUACAGAAUUACAGAAAUUCAGAAAAUGAAUUUCUCUAAUUUUGAUGGUAUUACUGAUGAUAAAAUUGUAGAAGCAAGAAGAAACAGAAAGACUGAUAGUUUUAUUAAUGUAACAAGUGAAGUAAGAAUGAAAUGACAAAGUUGAAAAAGUUGUGACAUCACUUAAGAAGACUAAAACCUUUGUUAUAGCUGAGGUGGUACCAGUUAAAGAAGUGAGAACUUCUUCACUGACUGAAAUUUGCAUAUCAAUCCAAAUGAUUGUGCUUGUUUACUAUUUUUGUAGACUUCAUUCUUCAAAAGUGCUGCAUCUUUCAUAAUCAAGGAGGACAAAGACCUUUCUUGCAGGUGGUGACCAUGUGGAUAAUAGGAUUAUAGACAAAUGGUUCUAUCUGCAGCAUCACCCCAAUGCUGUUGUUAUUGCUUCUUUCUGGGAUCUUCUUGCACCUUUGCUUCUCACGGGGCACAACUUUUAAAAGCAAGCAGUUAACCUGGCUGGAUUCACACUGCAGCCUGCUCCAUCUGCUUUGGGAAGCAGCCUGCACUCUGUUCAGUUCUUUUCUUUUCACAUUGUUUGUGCUAUUUGGAGUCUGGCCUACAUGAUGGGCAGUUUACGGGUCAACCAAAGAUUUCAGCAGAAUUUAUACACAGAAUUUCAUUCAGGCUUCCCCUGUCUGAUUCUCCACUCUGUGGGAAUUUCCUCCCACUUUCCAGCUGCUAUUGAGGAUGCCCUUAGGCAAAAUUUCAUGACAUUGGAAACUUAACUAGGGAUAUUCCUUUCUUCCAAGAGUACACUCACCUCCAGUGUUGACUUGCUUUGGUUGUUCUCCAUUGUUGUAGAUAGCUGUCUUUAUAUUCAUUCUGGAGUUUACAGAUGAUAUCCGUUGCGGGCUUAGUUUGGUAGCAGGUACUCCUUUAUUACUAGUAGCCAGACUUGUAUGUCUUACCUGACCUGAUGUGGAAAAGUUUCAACUUACGAGAAUGUGCUAGCUAGUUUUACUGAUUCAUGCACUCUAACGUACCCAAACCAAAUAGUGUAGCUCUCUAUCCUAUAUGAAUCUUCUCUGAUUUUCACUGUUUUAAUCAAAAGUAUACACGUUGAGAUUUCUAUAGGUUGUGUUUUUAAGCAUCACAGUUCUUAUAAACUAAUAAUUUCUAAGCUCUACUUGCUUUGCAUUUCGCCUACCAAGAGUUUUGUAUUUGUGUGGGAAUAAUCUCUUUGUAUGAAUAUCUUUUUCCAUUCAUGCAAAACAGAGCAUCAAUUUCUCUAAGCAUUAUGCUCUAGUUUGCCUUGGUAUUAUUGGAAAUGCCUCGUGAUUAAUUUGGGCUCUUCUCCACCCUCAUUCCCAACAUUAUUGCCAGCUUUUACCACUUCCAAGGGAUGGAAAUGUUUUCCACCAAGCACUUAUUCAUGCCAGUGAAAAUCUAGAAAAAAUGAAUAAAACUAGGAAAUUCUUCUUGGUAUCUGUAGCUAACUUACCUAAGUGUUCUUUCCCACAGGUCAGGUUUUCAGUCCAUAGAUAUAAAGGGGAGUAGUGACCUCUGGUACUUUAUUUAAUUAAUUGAAAACAUUAUUUGGGUCAAAACAUAGACUUAUGUUUUGUGAAUUGUGCUGUGUUGUAGACCCUUGAAGUGAGUUCCUCUAACAUAGAAUUGAUCUAGCUCUUGAAAUACCAUUUUUCAUUGAAUAUAAAUAGGAUAUAGGCACCUUACAACUUCUGAAUUUGAGGAAGAUGAUGUUAAUCUUCCAAUUUUAUCCAUUUAAUUUGGAUGGUAUAUUUUUUCACAUUUCUUGUAACUUCCACAUGUCAACUCCCAUGACAAUCAUGCAGGAAAGGGGCAUGAUUGUACUUCUUUUAGUGCAUAUCAUCACUGCAACAUGGUUACUGUCUUUAUGUGGCCUUUAGAAAAAUUCAGAAAUGGCAUACCAAGCAUAUUUAUUUUAUAUAUAAGCUAAAUAAGCCCAUGUGGAACAGUAAAUGUUCUAUUCUGAGAAAUACCUUGAUUGCUGUCUUAAAGGCUAAUGUUACUGGUAGUUUUCAAACUCGCAAUUCUGCUUCCAUCUAAAUUUGUCUUAUCGUUAAAUAAUCUAUCAGUCCAUUUUUGUCUAUCAAUCAUCUAUCUCUCUGUCUUUAUCAGUCAUUCACCUGUAAUCUAUCUGUGCUGUUUGGCAUAAGAGACAGAAGGGUAUAGCAGUGGAAACCCAAAGGAGUUCCCUCCAUGUGAAUGGACGGUAGUGAUGGUGAUCUGUGAGGUGGUGAAGUAUAGAAAGAACACCUGGAAGAGAACAUGCCCUAACUCAGGGACCUUGUCUGUCAGGCACUCUGGCCUUGUUACACUGUGCUUACAUAUGAAAAAUGAAAUCAAAAUAGUGCUGACAUUCUGCAUCACCUGGGUCUGAGAAAACUUAAGAGUAGGUAUGAUGACUCUGCCACUUCAGUCUUUUGUAUUUCUAUAGUUUUGAGCUCAAUUACAAGUCUGUAGGAUUAUUUCCCCAACCUGUGUUAAACUAGACCAUGGAUUGGCAAACUUUUUCUGUAAAGAACCACAAACACAUUUCCAGUUCUGAAAGCCUUGUGGUCUUUGUUGAAGCUAAUCUAUUCUGCUGUUGUAUUAUGAAAGCCGCCAUAUAAUUGAAUGAGUAUGCUGUGCCUUUCUCCCAAUAAAAUUUUACAAAAGCAGCCUGUGGGCUGGAAUUUAUCCUUCACGAAACCAGAGCAUCAGGUUAACUGGAACCUGAACAAUCACAUCAACUCAGCCACAUGGUAAUAAUGUUUAGAGUAUUAUUUCAACAUUUUCAUUUUUAUAAAAAAAUUUUUAGCUUCUUUGCCAAAUUCCAUUUGUGAUUGAUAUAAAUGACUACCACGUGCCAUUAACAUCAUCUAAACAGUAUAAAACAAGUACAAGAGAAGGAUUCAAAUGAUAUGAGCCCCUUGCUAUAAGAGUUAUAGUUGAUAAAUUAUAUUUCAAAAUUGAACUUAUUUCUUCCAAAUUUCAUGUAUAAGGAAUUUGUUUCCAAAAUCUUGCCUCCCUUCUUUUCCCAUUUAGCAAUAUGGUCUCAGUGGUCAUGGUGGUAUCCAUCCUCCUUGGACCAUGAAUUUAGCCUGUUUUGACUUCCUCUGAACAGUUGUAGUGGUUUCACCAUAUCAGAGUAACAUUACUACACGAUAAAGCUAUUCUUUUAAGUCAGCUUGUAAAAACUUGAUAGUGUCAACAAUAUGCAUAGCAAAUGAAUACCAUCUUUAGUCCAAAUAAAUUGUUUUUACAAAUUUAGUCUUGAUGCUGUCUGCCUUGCAGGAAUUAAAGAUAAGAUUAAAAGAAUAAAUAAUCUGCUAAGUUGAAAUUAAGUUUGGGUAAUUUAUUGCAGUAAUGGAUGUAUUUUCCUCAAAACAUAUGACAAAUUUAGUGUUGAAAGGCUCACUCAAAUCAUUUGGGAAAACACAUAAAUGAACAAUUCUUAAAAAUACUGCAAAUGGCCAAGAGCAUAGAAAGUAUGCUCAACUUAUCAGUCGUUAUAAUGAAAUGAUGAAAUUUGUAUAUAUUUAAAAUGCAUACUUAAAAUAUAUGAAACAAAACAAUUAUUUGCCUCUUUUCACCUAUCAGAUUAACAGGUAGAAGUGUUAACAAAGUGAGGAGAAUUUGGAACUCCUGAUGUGUUAAAAUCUUUCAGGAAGGUAGUACAAAAUAUAUAUAAGAUGAAAAUCAGCACAUUUUGACCAACAAUUUUAGUUUGAGGUAUUUAUCUAUAAGGAUAUAAUAGGAAGUGUUCAACAAUGCAUGUAAACUUAAGGGUAGUCAAUGUAGUGUUAAUUAUAAUUGUAAAAUAGUAAAUAACCUUUUGUCAAAUCAUAAUGCUAGGAAAAUUAGUGAUGGCACAUUUUACUAAUUGGAUUAUGUUGAGUUAUUAAUUCGGUGAUGCAUGUUCAAAUUAAUUGAUGUGAAAAUCCAACACCUUCAGCAAUUUAUUUACCAGUUACUGAGUACCAACUAUGUUUAACAUUGUAUUUUGUUCAUGUGAAAUGACAUGUAUGUGCUUGUUAUGAUAUGGUCAAUAAACCAGUUUUAUAGGAAGAAUACUCACAAAA